GGGAUUGAUGUGUGUGUGAGUGAUGAUAUACGAGCGCAUCGCUCCCUCUCAUGUGAUAUUGCUGAAAUAAAGUUUUCUGGACAUUUUUCCUUGUUUUUUUUUGUUUUUUUUAAUUUUGGUCUUUUUCUUGUCACCUUUCACUAAGUUUUUGAAAUUUGCGGGACAUUGCUUGCAAAACUGCUGCCUUUUUCCUCCAUGUUUUCAAGAGAAAUCAGACCAGUCUGCUCGGGUUUCAAAGGGUUAAACAGCUUGUAAAAGGCGUCUGAAUGCAGCUCCAGAAAACUGCGUCAGUCUGGGUCACUUUAUCUGUUUGUGGAGAGUUUCUGCAGUUUGUGUCGUCUGUCAGCAGGUGGCAGCGCCGCCUCUCCGCACCACUUCAUCUGGAGUUUCCUGUUUGUUUGUUUGUCUGUCUGUCUGUCUCUGUGUCUCUAACCUGUCCAAACGUCCUCAGAGAACCAGAGAGGUGGUGGAUCCCAACAUCACUCCGGGACACAGCAGGGUCUCCACCAUGGGCCGAGGACCCCGAACCAAGAGAGCCGAGCGCGGCCGUCAGUGGGUGAUCUGCGAGGGUUUCCAGUUCAUCCUGAAGCAGCAGGCCGACGCUCUGCUCAGACUGGGAGUCAAUCCGAGUUUUAAGGAUGAUGUUUUGUGUCAGCUGUGGAGGAUCUACCUGCAGAAGAGUCGACAGGCGUUCACACACAACCCAGUGAGGGCGUCCGUCUU